UCUGAGGGUACCUGGGACACCUCUGGGGGUACCUGGGGCACCUCUGGGGGUACCUGGGACACCUCUGGGGGUACCUGGGGCACCUCUGGGAGUACCUGGGGGUACCUGGGGCACCUCUGGGGGUACCUGGGACACCUCUGGGGGUACCUGGGGCACCUCUGGGGGUACCUGGGGCACCUCUGAGGGUACCUGGGGCACCUCUGGGAGUACCUGGGGCACCUCUGGGGGUACCUGGGGCACCUCUGGGCUGUCUCACUGCAGCACAAGGAGCAUCACAAGCCAUGUCCGGGCUGUUUUCUGUUUCCUCACCCUCUCGGGGUGUCCCCAGCCCAGCCCCACUCAGGUUGGGGUGUCCCUUCAGCGUGGUGGCACCGGGGAGGGGACUGGUCACUGCAGGGGUGACAUCCAAAAUAAGGGUACCCAAAGUAGGGGGGAAAAAACCACCCCAACACAGCAGAGCUUGGCGGGAGGAUGAAUCUCAGUUUGCAUAAUCCCAGAAAACGCCAGGAAUCACCCAAAAUGACCCAAACCCAAGCAGGAAGCCAUCCAGCAGCCAUCUGUGCCACCUUGGCAUCCUCGGGGCAGCUCUGCCCCACUGCAGGGACCUGUCCUGCCCCCGUUGCUCCCAGGAUGUAAAAUAAUAAAAAUAAACACAAAGAAACAACGACAACAAAAAUCUACAUACAUAUGUACAGGCUACGUUGUAAACAGCACAAAAAAAAAAAAAACAUGAAAAAAAAGGAAAAAAAAAUAGCUGAAAAGUGUGGUUGAACUUUUUAAGAGAAUAUUAUAAAUACUGUAAUAUAUCAUUUUAUUUUAUUGGCAUGCCUUUUUGUAAAUACAAAGAACUACAAAAAAAAAUUAUAGAAUGGCUUCUGGCUUAUGCCAUUGUCCAUGGUUAUUUUUAUUUUUUUAAGAUUUUUCUGUUGUCCUUAGAUUUUAGAUAGCCAGGAAAUGUCCCCCAAAGGAAAAAUAAAAACAAAACCCACAGCAACAAAAAAAAAAAAAAAUCCAAAUGAGAACCUAACCCCCUCAAAAUAGAUUUUAACAAAAGCUUUAUUGCAAGUGGUAUUUGCAGCAGCAAAAAGUGUCUAUUUUUGGGUUCCAAUGUGCAAUAAGUCGACCACUUCUAUGCAAGAUUUGGCUGAAUUUCAUAAUUGUUCCCAGGCUGGGCUGAGUCCUGUAGGUGACGCUCGGUGCGUUGGCGUUUGUGCUGGCAACUCAUGAAGCUGCUCAAUGACUUUCAAAUAAAAAACUCCCUCCAAACUCUGUAUAUAUAUUAUUUUUUUUUUUAUGUUUUGUCAGCAGGAAGGGGAGGGAGGAGGUUCUUGUUGGCUGCAGUUGGUUCUGCUCAAAAAAAGGAAUUUGGAGAUGUUUUUCUCCUUGGGUUUCCUUCCUAGGGCAGAUGUCUGAGUUGGGUCUUGCUGGGUGAAGCCAAAGUUGGAGGAAAUUUUGGGCAAAGAGCCUCAGGGAUUUGUCCCACCCAAAUCUCCAAAUUCUGACGUUAUUCACAGAAUUCCCGUUCUGGAUUCAGGGUUUUGGGAGCAAAUAAGGGGGGUGGUGUUUUUAGGAAGGUGUAGCCAAAACUCACAACCACACCAAGGAGUUCCCUUCCCUCCCCCAGCUCUAAAAUCCUCCCUUUUGGGUUAAUUUGGGUUAAUUUUGUUGACUCCAGAAGUGUGGAGUUAAUGAAAUGCCAGCCCAAGCUGCUUUAUUCACUUUCCUCUUCACCUUUUCUGAAAAUAUAGAAGCCAAUGUUGGAAAAAAAAAAUAAAAUAAAUAAAUUCAGGUAACCCCAUGGUGUUCCCUAGAGGCCACACCUGAGUUUGAAUGAUUUUUCUGCUGCAAAAAUAAAAUUUAAAAAAAAAAAACAACAAGCCAACAAGCUCAAUAGUGAAGAUUAGUGUAUUAGAAAUUGCAUGGUGGCUCAUACCGGUCUUACCCAACAUGACUGACAAUUACUAUAAGCCAAAAGCAAAUGAAAUAAACUGAAAUAAAUGAAAUAAAUUUCCCUUUUCACGGUACAAGGGAAGGUUGUCGUGGUGUCCCAGUUAUUCUCACCCCUUUUCCUGCCCCUCUGGGCUCCCCCAGAGGCAUUUUAGGGUGGUCUGGGGAGCAGAGCGAGGGGCAGGAGGAGCUGCUGGAAGGUUCUGGGUGUUGAAAGGGGGCAGGAGGAGAUCUUGGAAGGAUUUUUGUGAUAAAGGUGUGAGGUGGCUCAGCCCUGCUGGGGCUGUGGGGUUGGUACCUGCCUCCGGCUCCCUUUGAGGCAGGUGAGGAGCCCAGGCAGGUGAGGAUGGAGCCCCAAGAAGGUGAGGAGAGGAUGGGGGCUCCGGGCAGGUGAGGAUGGAGCCCCAGGCAGGACAGGAUGUUGUUCUGUGAUGGCUCAACCUGUAACUGCUCACCUGAACCCCUCAUCCUGCAUCCCCUCACCUGUAACCCCUCACCUUUACCCCUCCAUCCCACAACACCUCGUCCUAUGACCCCUCACCUGUAACCCACCUGUAACCCCAUAUCCUAUAACUCAUCCCUAACCCCUCGCCUGUGACCUGCAGCCCCCAUCCUUUGCCCUAAAAACCCCCAAGAAAGGCCCCAAAUCCCCCCCCCCCCCAGGGGAUUGGGGGGCAGCAGCUCUGCAGGGGCUGCCCUGGGGGCUCCUGCUGCCCCCCAACUCUCCCACCCCUGCUCUGGGGGCUCCUGCUGCCCCCCAACUCUCCCACCCCUGCCCUGGGGGCUCCUGCUGCCCCCCAGUGCCCCCACCCCUGCUCUGGGGGCUCCUGCUGCCCCCAACUCUCCCACCCCUGCCCUGGGGGCUCCUGCUGCCCCCCAACUCUCCCACCCCUGCUCUGGGGGCUCCUGCUGCCCCCCAACUCCCCCACCCUGCCCUGGGGGCUCCUGCUGCCCCCCAGUGCCCCCACACCCGACCCCCAGCCCAUUCCUCACCCCGGGCCUGGCUCAGCUCUCAGUGCUGCUCAAGGGCCCUCACCUGGGCUGGGGGUGCCCACAGGUGACCCCACCUGCCCCCCGGCACCCCCUGCCCCCCAUCCCACCCCACUCCUGGCCAGAAGGGCUGAGCUGGGCACGAGCCUCACCAAGGGCAGAUCGAGCCCAGAGCUGAAUGCCCACCUUGGAAUUGCUUCUGAUAUUUCAGUUUUUGGUCACUUCGGGGUUAUUUUUCGUAGGAAACACAAUUAUGAGUUUUGGUGCAGUCUGUUGAACAGAUUUGUGGAGUUUUGCUGCUCGGUUGAGGCCGGUCCAAGCCAAGGCAGAGCGUGGUUGUGCCGUCCUGCACCUCCCCGUGUCACACACACACACGCACUGGUCCCACUGGUUUAACUGGGAUGGAGGGUCCCCAGCUGUCCCCCCCCGUGGCUGUGCUGGCUCAUUCCCUACCUCACAGGGGUGUUGUGAGGCUUCCCGAGACCCCCAGCGUGCUGCAGCGAGGGUCCCAGAGCUGUGGGGGCACCCAGGGGUGCCCGCGAUGCUGCUGCGACAGCCCCACACCCUGGGCAGCUCUGGGGCUGUGGGGCCGCCUCUCCCCCGGCAGCGCUGCUGCCGCUCCCCUCCCGCCCUGCUUUUCCUCUCGGUUGUGUUUUACCCGGGGAGAGGAGGAGGAUGGAGCCGGGGGAGGGUGGAGGAAGGCGCUGGAGGGACGGGCUGGGAGUUCCGUGGCUGAACUUUUGAGUUCCUUUGUACUGUACAUCUUUUUACUUUGGAAUUUGCAAUAAAGAGGUAUGUCCAUCUUGUUUUAACAA